GCCCAGAAAAAGCUGGCUUCUCUGUGGAACACAGUGUUUAUAUCUAGAAGAUGAGACUACUAGAGUUUCUCCUGUGCUUGGCAGCAGCUCUGCAAAGCAUUUUGUCUCAGAUUCAUCUUAAUGAAUCAGGACCUGCUGUCACCGAGCCAUCACAGCCACUGUCCCUCACCUGCACAGUCUCUGGAUUCUCCAUUUCAAGUAGUGGUUAUUGCUGGCACUGGAUCCGUCAGCCCCCAGGAAAGGGGUUAGAGUGGAUGGGGUGCAUACGUUAUGAUGGUUACACUUUCUACAGUCCAUCCUUCAAAAGCCGCAGCACCCUCUCCAGAGACACAUCACUGAACAAAUUCUCUAUCCAGUUGAGCUCUGUGACUGCUGAUGACACAGCCAUGUAUUACUGUUCCAGGGAAAACCACAGUGAGUGA